UACGUAGGCAGCGAGCGUUGUUCGGAAUUACUGGGCGUAAAGAGUGUGUAGGCGGUGCUCUAAGUUCGGUGUGAAAUCUCCCGCUUAACUGGGAGGGUGCGCCGGAAACUGGAGUGCUCGAGCGUGGGAGAGGAAAGCGGAAUUCCUGGUGUAGCGGUGAAAUGCGUAGAUAUCAGGAGGAACACCUGCGGUGUAGACGCUUUCUGGACCAUUGCUGACGCUGAGACACGAAAGCGUGGGUAGCAAACAGG
rnacentral:rRNA from 1 species